CGAGCGUCAUUUAAACCUUCAAGCUAUGCUUGGUGUUGGGUGUUUGUUCCGCCUCAGCGCGUGGACUCGCCUCAAAUCCAUUGGCAGCCGGUAUGUUGGCUUCGUGCGCAGCACAUUGCAAGCGAAUCCAUCAGACCCUCUUCCAUAAGCCUCUUUUUUACUUUGACCUCGGAUCAGGUAGGGAUACCCGCUGAACUUAA
rnacentral:misc_RNA from 1 species